AACGGAGUGAAGCAUGUUACUUUAAUACGAAAGUACGCGUAAAAUCUUACCAUUUCUUGCAUAUCCGAUAAAGCUCUUUUAUUUUUAAAGGAGUCUGAAUUGAGUAAUUUCUAGAAUAAAAAAAGAUAUUAUUUUAAAGCUCUAUACAAAAACAGCUAACUAAAAUAUGGUUCUUAUAAAAUUAGAAAUUCGUUUACAGGU
rnacentral:rRNA from 1 species